AGAGCGAACGCUGGCGGCAGGCUUAACACAUGCAAGUCGAGCGGAUGUAGCAAUACAUCAGCGGCAGACGGGAUAGUAACACGUGGGAACGCGCCCUUUGGUUCGGAAUAACUCAGGGAAACUUGAGCUAAUACCGGAUAAGCCCUUACGGGGAAAGAUUUAUCGCCAAAGGAACGGCCCGCGUCCGAUUAGCUAGUUGGUGAGGUAAUGGCUCACCAAGGCGACGAUCGGUAGCUGGUCUGAGAGGAUGACCAGCAUCACUGGGACUGAGACACGGCCCAGACUCCUACGGGAGGCAGCAGUGGGAAUAUUGGACAAUGGGCGCAAGCCUGAUCCAGCCAUGCCGCGUGGAUGAUGAAGGCCCUAGGGUUGUAAAGUCCGUUUUAACGGGAGAUAAUGACGGUACCCGUAGAAUAAGCCCGGCUAACUUCGUGCCAGCAGCCGC
rnacentral:rRNA from 1 species